rnacentral:sRNA from 2 species
AAUUCACAUCCACCCACAUACGCGUGGCAGGAGCGGGGGACCCAGGUAAGCCGCCGGCCCGGAGAGAUCCGGACCGGCUCGGGGUGAAGUCGCAGCCAGCGACCGGGCAUCUCCAGUCCGAACCCGACAGCUCACCUCGUAGGCGCCGGAGAGGAAUU